UCGGGAGGCUCAAAUUGGGCUAAUACACCAGAAAUGAUGUAUGGAUAUCCUGCCAAAUUCGGUGAAACCUUCGUGGCGUGAAAGCGCACACAUGGCAAUACCGAGCCAAGCCCUAGUAAGUAAUUACUUCGGAAGGUGUAGAGACUAGAUGGUAGGCAUCUUCGUUUGAGUAAUCAAAAAAGAUGAAGGUAUAGUCCAGACCACAAACACAUUCGUGU
rnacentral:ncRNA from 1 species